CUGUGGACGCCUAGAGCAGGAGAGAAAGCUUUUGGAACUUGGAAGAAUUGGUUAGGCAAGAAGAAGAGGGAUUUGGCUAAAGGAAUAUCAAGGAGGAUUGAGUCCUGAGAUUUGGGGGACACAGAGAGUGCGUUUUCAGGGAGGUUGUAGCUCGUCGGUUGUGCACGAGUCAUUUCAGGAGUUGCUAGCUUUCAGCAUAUACGAGGUACUAGCGAGGACCGUGGGAAGGCGCCGGCAUGAUCGAUACACACUGAAGAUUGUUUUAUGAUCUUGGGAGUUUGAAUAAUUGUAUUGACCGAAUAAUUAAACUAUUUAUGCCUUGUUUUUAAUGGAAACAAUUAUGUUUUAAAAAUGAAAAAUUUGUUUGAAAAA